AAAAAAAAAGGAAAAUAAAUCACCCAAAUAGGUCCCAGAUCCUAUAAAAAUACGUAACAGGACAAAUGAUACAGCUGCAGUGCACCGGAUAAUCCUAUGCUACGUCGGAGUCUUAAUCUUAGACUCACAUCUCACACCCCCGGUACGCGCCCAAGUCCGACGAGGUUUCGUUUUCCCUGAAAAAUAUCUCUUACCUCUCCAUAUCUGUCUCUCCACUUGGAAAAUUGACUUCUUCUCCAUUUCUAAAUAAAAAAGGCAGUUGUUGAGAUCGUUGAUUGAGCGAGUUGAGAGGCAUUUACUUGGCGGAUGGAUUCGUUGUCGAUUCGGGUUCCGUACAGGA
rnacentral:misc_RNA from 1 species